AUGUAACCACACAGAGGCUCUUCGAAUUGUGCUCAGUAUCUGAAAAAAAAACAACAACAUACUUUCCAUUAAGUCAUGAUAUUUAACGACUCGAGUAUUAUUUCAACACAUUGACACAUUGCUGAACAGAAGAAUUUAAUUUGCAAUCGGGUAUGUGUUUUUAUCCUGGCUUGUGACGGAAAGCAUCUGAACGGAAUGGAACGAUUCCCAUGUCGACUCCCUAUUAUAGCUAUCGCCUGUGUCUUGUGGACGUUUCUUAACCUAACUCCAUUAUGCAGAGCCUUUGAAGACGUAAUGAGAAAUCCGUCGAAGAAUCUUUACCAGGAGCUUUUGGAUACAUACGGUUCGCCUGCCCUUCGACCUGUCGUUAACCUUUCACAACCGAUCGUCGUCUAUCACAGACUACUUGUCUCACAAAUAAUAGAUUUUGAUGAACCACAGCAAACAUUGACUUUGAGUUCUUGGCAACGUAUGG